GUAAGGCUAGCCAGAAAUUCAUGUCACAAAUCAUGUAGAAACAAAAAAUAAUUCACUCUCAGGACAUCAGAGUCAGUCUUUCUUCUGAGUUGUGGAAAGAACCAAAUUUCUGUAGACAAUCCCACAAUGUCUUGAUCUGCCCCAGAACAUAGGGUCCUGAGGCUGGCAUAGAGUUAGUCCCUGAGGAGAGACAACCGUGUAGCUGUGACCACAUCAUCUAGACCCUGCUAAUUUGCAUGUAACAGAACAUCCCACACUUCUGAGGAUUUCUUAAUAGGCUGAUAAUACACUGUGUAGGAUUCAGUACUAUUCAGGACACAGCACAGCCAUGAAGGCUCCUGUUCAUCUCCUGGGACUUCUGCUGCUCUGGAUCCCAGGUUCCAAAUGUGACAUCCAGAUGACCCAGUCUCCAUCUCAGACUGUAUCACUAGGAGACACAAUCACCAUCAACUGUCAAGCCAGUCAGAGCAUUGGUGCAGCAUUAGCCUGGUAUCAGCAAAAACCAGGGAACUCACCUAAGCUCCUGAUCUAUGCUGCAUCCAGUUUGCAUGCUGGAGUCCCAUCCAGGUUCAGUGGCAGUGGGUCUGGGACAGAUUUUACCCUCACCAUCAGCAGUUUGAAACCAGAAGAUAUUGGAACUUAUUACUGUCAACAUUACAGCAGUUACCCACCCACAGUGGAACAAGUCAUAACAUAAACCAUUCAACAAAACAGAAGUGCAAGCCAGGCUGCCUCAGCUGCUCCUCCUGGUGCUUCCACCUGCUGAGAUCAUUAUGCAUAUGAAGUUGGUAUUGAAGAGCUCUGAGUGACUUUGAA